GGAUGGUGUUCACAAUCUAUAAGAAGUUUACAAGAUGGCGCAGGACCUAAGCCGGUGGGCCGACUUGUCUCCUCUUGACGAGGCGGGGUAGCGGGACGGCGUGAAGUACAGACUACACAGCGGGGCGGGUAGCACUCUGGCAACAGGUACUCGCAUGCACUUACCUGACUUCGCAGCUUUAAUCAGUAUUUUCUGCUGGAAUGUUUCAGCUACUAAGUUGUUUGUACGUCCUUCUGACGUUGUUUACACGCCCGUUUUAUGUUGUUUAUGCAUGCCACAUCAUUCUCAGGAACAUUUCGGUGGACGGAAAGCCAGACAGGGAGACCGUGGCUGUAUCAAGGGGUAGACAGAUAAAAGGAAGGAAUACAGAUCGACAGGCAAACAAACAAAUAAACGGACAGACGGGCACAAAGGAAUGAGUGUGGCAGCUGGAAGAAGGGCUGGGUUUGGAAACACCGGCUUCUGUUUUCCUCAAGCAUAUUGUGUGGUUUGAAAAUUUUAUUCCAGGAAGUUUAUUUCCUGUCUGUAGCUCAUUGCUGUCAGGUUGUCAAGCUCUGGGUCAAAAUCUAGGGAGGUAUUAUUUUUUUUUUUUCUUUUUGAGUCUGUUACAUCAACUGCAGCCAUCUCCAAUCCAGUAACACAUCAACAUCUUCCACAACUGUCUUUCUAUUACACAUACAUAUUGCUAGUUGCUUACUGCAAGCAAAGAAACAUCAUACUGGACCCACCACCGGAAGAGAUGCAGAACUGCACUCAAUAACACGUUUAUGCAUUGUUAUGAUAACACGCACGCCCACACACACCCAUCCACACACACACACAUGUAUGUUCAGGACUACUUUACAAUAAAUUUAACACAUACAUGAUAAUAACAUAUACAGAGACUCCAGACCCUGCAUUACCUUGUCUUGUAACUACAUUCAGAUAAAUGUAAUUCUAACAACAGAGCUCUGACAGGCAAAUAAACCAGUAAAAUGUUUGCUGUAAAACUUGAUCAUUAUUUGGAAAUGACUGAACAUGUUUCAGCCGACCAACAUGCUUUUAAACCAAAAUAAUUUGCGAAACAAAGAACCGAUUAUUUUCCCAAACCUCUCCUCACCCCUAAACCCUUCCAUUCGUCCAGGUCUGCACUGGCUUAUUGUGAAACCCGCAACGGACAAUAGACCUCUUCAAAACAUCUCUCAUCCAUCCCUCGGUCCUUAAAACUUUUCUUUUCUAUUUUCUCUUCCUUUCUUCUUUUUUUUUUUUUGCGUCUUUCUUUCUUUCUUGCCAUCCUCCCAGUUUAACAGCAGCCGAGAUGACGAAACAUAUUUUGACAUGCAUAAGCCCAGACACUUGAGUCCUGUGUUAAAGAGCGCAGAGAACAGCAAAUGUGCUUUGGUGGGGACACCGAGAACAAACCACUCGGCCUCCCAUUGUGCAGCUUAAAAAUCAACUAGGCUUCAUGGCCGGGCGGCGCACUUGCCUUCAUCCACCCUUCUCUUCCUGUUAGGUAUUGAUGCAGGCUUCUGAAAUUACACAAGUUCCUUUCGGCACGCGAAAGGUAAUGCAAACGCUUAAUUUUGCGAGGUUGACGAAAGUCAUUUACUGGACUGCCUGGUGCGAGCGCGAGCGAAACUUGGAGAGCUGUGGUUUUGAAAGUAAACGUCGCCCUCAUUAGUUGGCGGUGUACGACUCGAGAGGCUGUUUCCCCGAGCCUUCGUGCCAUUUUUUUCUGACUUUUAAAAAAAAAUUUACAUCUCAUCCUUCUGUUUGCAGAUGUUCACACAACAUAGUACUUCAUGUCCGACAACCUUUCCGAGGACGCUAGACAGCUGACGGUGACGAGAAGAGAAGAAACAUCGAGAACAGACCUACCCUCUCUUCAGAUGUUUACUGCCUCUGUGCCGACUGACUUACAACCGAGGGCUU
rnacentral:lncRNA from 1 species